rnacentral:lncRNA from 1 species
GGGGCUCUUAUUCACUCCCACCCUGCUUCCCCCACUGACUUCAUCACAGGACCUAUCAUUUCCCUCCAUCUCUGUCUUAGUCUAUUUUGUGUGGCUAUAACAAACUAACACAGACUGGGUAAUUUAUAAAGAACAGAUAUUUAUUUCACUCAUGGUUCUGCAGACUGGGAAGGCCAAGAUUGAGGGGCUGCAUCUUGUGAGGGCCUUCUUAUUACAUUGUCCCAUGGGUGAAGGUGAAGUGGAGUAGAGGAGUGAACUCACUUUUGUAUCACACUCACUCUUGCAAUAUCAACCCCACUCCAGUGGGCAUCCCUGUCCAAUAACAACAUUUAUCUACCUCACUACACUGUUGCAUUAGGGAUUGAGUUUUGUAACACAUGAACACGGGGCACAAAUUCAAGCCACAGCAAUCUUGCUGUCCGAAGUGCUUAUCCCUCUUUCCCACCUAGUUGACCACUUCUCAUCUUUCAGGCCUCACUGCCCUUUCCUGUAGGGAAGCAGAGGAUGAUUUUCUGACCCUCUGACUAGGUUAGGCUUUCCCUACACAGGCACACACAGUGCACAGCAGGGUCUUCUUCAUUGAAAUUGUCACUGCUACAGAUAAUAUUUGUGCUGUUAUAUGGUUCUGCCCUGUAAUAGCCAUUAGUGGCACAUUCUGGCUCUCUCUCCUAGGCACAUGGUACAAUUCUACAUCCCUCUGCACUUGAAAUUAGAUGGGUCUCUGUUACUUUGGCAAAUGAAAUGUGAGCCCAAGUAACCUGUCACUUCUGGGCAGAAGCUGUAAGAGCCAGGGCAUUCUUUUUCCUUCUGGCAUGGUGACUGGCAAUGUUCCACAUGUUGAUUGCUCCACCAGCUGAUGACCCUGAUGAACAGGGCCCCCAAUAAUACAAGAGGGACAUACAGUGUAAAGUAAUAAACUUUUGCUGUUUUAUGGAAAGCAUUGGUAGUUUUAGAGGUUUGUUACCAUAACAUUACCUACUUCAUCGUUACUGAUAUAAUGUUUUUUUUUUCUCUCCAUAGAUUUCAAGUGUCACAAGGGUGGGAGCUAUAUCUGUUGUGUUAGGCACAUAAUAAAUGUUGAAUAAAAUAUCUACUUCAUUGAUUCUAAUAAAGACUCUAUCCCUUAAUCUAUUCUCA